GGAGAAUUGCUUGAACCUGGGAGAUGGAGGUUGCAGUGAGCUGAGAUCAUGCCACUGCACUCCAGCCUGGACAAUAGAGUGAGACUCUGUCUC
ensembl:miRNA